ensembl:snRNA U6 U6 spliceosomal RNA
GUGCUCACUUUGGCAGCACAUAUACUAAAAUCGGAAUGAUACCGAGAUUAGCAAGGCUCCUGUGCAAGGAUGACACACAAAUUUGUGAAGCGUGCCAUAUUUUU